UUCUGGCAUAGAGGAACCACACCAAUCCACCCCGAACUUGGUUGUUAAACUCUAUUGCGGUGAUGAUACUGUAGGGGAGAUCCUGCAGAAAAAUAGCUCAGCGC